rnacentral:rRNA from 1 species
UACGUAGGGUGCAAGCGUUGUCCGGAAUUAUUGGGCGUAAAGAGCUCGUAGGCGGUUUGUCGCGUCUGCUGUGAAAACUCGGGGCUUAACUCCGGGCCUGCAGUGGGUACGGGCAGACUAGAGUGCGGUAGGGGAGACUGGAAUUCCUGGUGUAGCGGUGAAAUGCGCAGAUAUCAGGAGGAACACCGGUGGCGAAGGCGGGUCUCUGGGCCGAUACUGACGCUGAGGAGCGAAAAGCGUGGGGGAGCGAACAGG